UAGGAUCCAAACUUCGGUUACUAAGGGGUCAAGGCCACCUUCAAAAUAUUUCGUAUUAAGCUUCCUAAAUUUUGCUAUGUUGUGGGAAAUGGAUCUCUCGGCUAUUCGGUAUUCAGGGGUAGGAGGUGGACAAGGGUUGGCUUGAUUUUGUCCUACGACUGCAGUCAAUCCUUGGAUGGCUUAGAAGAGUUAGGUAAAUUCAGUCCU
rnacentral:lncRNA from 1 species